rnacentral:tRNA from 1 species
UGCGGAAGUAGUUCAGUGGUAGAACACCACCUUGCCAAGGUGGGGGUGCCGGUUCAAGUCCGGCCCUCGGCAU